rnacentral:lncRNA from 1 species
AGAGCGGCCGAGUCCUCCGGGUCCCCGCGGACGCCGGGAUGCGGGUCGCUCGCUGGAUGAGCCUGAGCCGGUGGCCGCCCUGAGCUCUGCACGCCCUCAGAGCCCUCAGAGCCGGACGGAAACGUGGAAAACGUCCCGUCGGUGUCUGUGCUCAUCGAGUCACCCCGCUCACCACGAUGCUCACCUGUGGCGGCCGGGAUGGAGAAGCCCCUCGCCGGCUGCAGGGCACACCGUGGGUCGGGGGCUCGACGGCUCAGACGUUCCUAACGUCCUGCAGUGGACGCCACAGGGCAGACGAUGCAGGAUCGCGCGACCUGUCAGACCAGACGCACCGCAGCGCUUCACCGCCCCCUUGGGGAUUUCUCAAGGCUUUGCUACUCACCGGCGGGGGCGACACGGGCGAUGGGAGGCGGCUGAUCUCAGGACAUCGAGGGCAAAGCAAGAAGGCUCAGCGGUUAAGAACACUGACUGCUCUUCAUACAAUGCAUCCUGAAUCCUUGUGUUGGGCUCGGCUACAGAAUCGCUUCAGAUGAACUAUUCCAGCAGAGGGCCACAGUCAUCCCCCUGCCUCACACAGUCACACAGCCACAUCCCCCUGCCCCACACUCAAUCAGCAUCAUCCCCCUGUGUCAGCGGGGGGAUGUUAAGAACACUGACUGCUCUUCAUACAAUGCAUCCUGAAUCCUUGUGUUGGGCUCGGCUACAGAAUCGCUUCAGAUGAACUAUUCCAGCAGAGGGCCACAGUCAUCCCCCUGCGUCAGAAAAUCACUCACAGAAUCGCUUCAGAUGAACUAUUCCAGCAGAGGAGCUCCUUUACUGAAGGGCACUGACCAAGUGGAAAUAUGCUGGACACAUAGUGAUAUAUCUCAACUAGGAGAGGCUAACUUUAGUGAGGUAGUUGGGACGAUCAUAGAUGGACUGGCCCAAGUUCAAGGCUGGAUCAUGACAAGAACUGUUGUGGACCAACCCUCAAGGGGAGGAAGACUCUUCAGGGGGGUUUAAACACCCCCCACCCUCCUGAGACCCGGCUUUCCUGCUUCCGGAGUUCCUGCUCUGGUUUUGGGGGGUCUUUUUCUCUGAGCCUCUGCCUCAUGUGUUUCCUCACCCCCAGUAAACACUUUUCUUCAAAAAAAAAAAAAAAAAAAAAAAAAAAA